AUUGAACGCUGGCGGCAGGCUUAACACAUGCAAGUCGAGCGGAGAUGAGGUGCUUGCACCUUAUCUUAGCGGCGGACGGGUGAGUAAUGCUUAGGAAUCUGCCUAUUAGUGGGGGACAACAUUCCGAAAGGAAUGCUAAUACCGCAUACGUCCUACGGGAGAAAGCAGGGGAUCUUCGGACCUUGCGCUAAUAGAUGAGCCUAAGUCGGAUUAGCUAGUUGGUGGGGUAAAGGCCUACCAAGGCGACGAUCUGUAGCGGGUCUGAGAGGAUGAUCCGCCACACUGGGACUGAGACACGGCCCAGACUCCUACGGGAGGCAGCAGUGGGGAAUAUUGGACAAUGGGGGGAACCCUGAUCCAGCCGUGCCGCGUGUGUGAAGAAGGCCUUAUGGUUGUAAAGCACUUUAAGCGAGGAGGAGGCUACUGAGACUAAUACUCUUGGAUAGUGGGCGUUACUCGCAGAAUAAGCACCGGCUAACUCUGUGCCAGCAGCCGCAGUAA
rnacentral:rRNA from 1 species